rnacentral:lncRNA from 1 species
AGCGAAGCUGAAGGGAGAGCCGCACACGUCCCCCUCCCUGGAAAACACCAGUUUAGGUGGGUUCCUUGGGGAACGUUCAGAUCGGGCUCUUUGUUCUGGUUGCUGUGAAUGUGUUUAUCCGCCCUCCGUCCCCGCGUCCGUCCACGGCGGUCGCUCCGCCGGGUCCUGCCAUUAGUGGCUGUGGUGCUCUGCUACCGGCGGGGACUCUCUGGGGAAAUAAACGGGAGAGCAGACACGGCUCAGGGCAGCAACCGCUCCUUCUCCCCAGGACUGGGAGGAGGGGACCGCGACGCCGUCCACGGCCCUCAGCCAGCCCUUCCCUGCUCCCCGAGUGCCUGCGCUGCCCCUCCUGCUCUCGUCCUCGCCCCGCCUUGUGCAGAGCGCGUGCGGGGGCAGGGCGGAGGGGCUGCCGUCUCGUCCCUCUCCAACCACAUGUGUUUCUGCCACAAAGAGGAGAGUCAGCCCGGCUCCGGAGGGUCGGAGGGUCGGGGCUGCGGAGCUGUCGUGUGGCACGUCCCAAGGCCCACGACCGAGGGACACAGCGGGGCUGGUGUCCAUGUCCUGGUCACUCAGCAGCUCCACUUCAUUUGGAAGCCGUGCCGUCCUGUGGCCGUGGACUGGGGUCAGGGUGGUUUACCCGGGAGCGCGCUCUUCUCCCGCGGCACUGACGCGUAUCUGUCCGUCUGGCGCCUGUUAAUACUGACUGAUGACAGACGGGGUGCUCGUCCUGGAGAACUUUUCUUCACCGAGGGCAGGAGGACGAGGUUCACUGAGCAAUACAGAUUAACUUUCAUUUUUUCUAAGAAAGUGAUUUUCACUGUCAAAGAAGGGACACGGGGCGCCUGGGGGGCUCAGUCAUUACGUGGCUGCUUUCGGCUCAGGUCAUGAUCUCAGUGUUCUGGGAUCCAGCCCCGCAUCGGGCUCCUCCACUAGGAGCCUGCUUCUUCCUCUCUCACUCCCCCUCUUGUGUUCCCUCUCUCGAUGCCUCUCUGUCUGUCAAAUAAAUAAGUAAAAUAUUAAAAAGAAGAAGGAGAAGGAGGAGAAGAGGAAGGGACACAAAGUGGGUCUGCAUUCAACAACUCAGGAAGGGUAGUCUUUCCAAGCUUACAAGGAACGAGGC